rnacentral:RNase_P_RNA from 1 species
AGGUGUGGCAAGGCGGCCGCGGUGUUGGUCUUCGGAUCGGCAUUGAGGAAAGUCCGAGCACGGCAGGAUGCGGUGGUGGGUAACGCCCACCCGCCCGGUGAUUCGUUUCGCGUGAUCGAGGGCGAGGGAAAGUGCCGCAGAGAGCAGACCGCCGAUGGCGCCCUUCGGGGCGUACAGGCAAGGGUGAAAGGGUGCGGUAAGAGCGCACCGCUCGGUUGGUGACAGCCGGGGCAUGGCAAACCCCACCGCGUGCAAGGUCAAGCAGCUCCCACUCGGUGCCUCGGCAUCGGGUCCGGCUGGUCCGGUCGGAGUGGGGCGGGUGGACCGCUCGGGUCGAACGACCCGCAUCACGUCGGCAACGGCGUGGGUAGAGAAAUGGUCGCUUCUGAUUGCAUGCCCGAAAGGGAACGGCAAUCAGGACAGAACUCGGCUUACCAGCUGCACCCGAAC